rnacentral:tRNA from 1 species
ACUUUUGUAAUUUAUUCUAAAAUAUUGAUUUUGUAAAUCAAAAAAAUUUCUUAUUAAAAGUU